GCCCCCGUAGUUUAACGGAUAAAACAGAGGCCUCCGGAGCUUCAAACAUAGGUUCAAUUCCUGUCGGGGGCA
rnacentral:tRNA from 1 species